rnacentral:lncRNA from 1 species
CCUAGCACCCUCUCCCCAUCGCCCCACGAGGCUCAGAGAGGCAGGGAGCUGCCGGCGAGUGUGAUGAGGCCGCACGGCCCGAGAACCAGACAGACCGGCUGCGCCACGGCUGCUUUCACUAGAGCUGUGUGACCUUGAGCAAACUCCCUGACCUCUCUGGAGUUCAGGUGCCCACCCGGGAGGUGACACUAGUUUUCUCUCGGAGCAGCUGGGCUGACUGGUGGCGGACACACAGUGGGGCCAUGGCCGCCCCACUACCUCUUCCCUUUCGUCGCUGGUAUCGCAUCCCUGGCCAUUCUGUGUGAGCCAAGCCAGGCCCUUUGCCAUCCACACUGGCCAGCUGCCGGAGGCCCUCGAAACUCCCACUAGCCAGGGUCCUCACAGCCCUGCUGGACUUUGAGGAGGGUCACCCCCUGCGUCCACACCACCCGGUCAGACUUCACAGUGAAGCAGUUGUGAUGGGGGCGGUAAUCAGAGUCUUCACAGGUCUUUACUGCCUGCUCACUGUUGCGGGCAAUAAGAUCGGUUUGGUUUGGUUUUAUUUGUGGUCCAUGCAGCGCACUGAACCACAGGACGUUUUCACAGACCCUUGUUGGACUAAACUGAACUGAAUUCCAGUCCUCCUCAGGCCGUGUGAUCCAGUGAGACGGUCACUCGAGCUGGCGAGUGGACGAGAGGGACAGCAGCUACAUCACGGAGAUGUGAGUCUGCUGGGCUCUGUGGGUCUGCCCGGAGCAGGUGAAGCAGGUGGGACAGGGCACAGGUGGGCAAAGCGGGGUAGCAAGGAGCACACCUGCACCAAGGGUGCGGCCUCUGGCCUUUGCUGACCACACCCAUGGGGCACCAGUCCCCGCACAUCAGCUCUGCCUCACCUGUGCGGCACCGUGGGACCUGCCCGUCUCCAGCGCUGUGUUCACACUCGGUGCUGAGAGAGGAAACAGUCAGAAGCCAGACGUGCAUUUCCAUUGGGCUCACCUCUCCUUGGUUCUUUCUGACGCCCAAGUGCUACGAUGACACCACUUUUGAGGAAAGCCACCAUUUCUAACCAAUGGCAGCCCAGAACAACAACCGAGUCCUGCAAGACAAAACCGAACAGGAGCGAGCGUGAGGUCCCAUGAGAGGUCCAGGGAAGAGCGACGAGGUGACAGCACGUAGAUGGCCUGGCUGUUUGUCCCCAGGGAGCUCAGCUGUUGGAAGUGGUGGGGCUGCCAACCCAGAAAAAGAGGGGGUUCCUCUGGCCAUCUGUUUGUUCAGCUGAGUCAGGAGGAACGUCAGCAAACUGGAGUCCCAAGGAGACGAGGAAUCAGGCCGGGGAAAGGACCCGAGGCUGUGAGCAUGGGAAAGGGCUGAAGGAUUUGUGACUCAGCUCAGACUGAGACAACACGAGACAACGACAGGAGGUCUAGCAGAUAAGACCCCCAGGCACGCUGAGGGGAGACCUCUAGGGGGCGUGGGGCUCAAGGCCUACACUGGAGUGGGGAAGGGACGACCUGUGCCCAGACUGCCAUCUCCUGGCCUGCGCCUUCCUGACACCUCCCUGUCCAUCAGUCAUUCAACAACCACUGCCCCUGCCCCAGGCCCCUCGCGCCUGCUGCUUCCAUCUGUCCAUCUGCUCCGACGCCAGCAGAACAGUGUUCAGUGUACAGUCAACUCCAGACCAAACCGCUGCCACUGUUUUCCAAAGGCUGGUGGGGUCGGCGGCCCCGCAGCUGCCCCCUCGACCCCUGACUCCCGGUGAUCAUGCCGCUGAGUAACGCCCUCUCCUGGACUGCGGGCUGGACCUAGCGACGGGCUUCCAACUGGCAGGAUGUGGCACAGCGCCGGGACGUCACCUGGCCAUGGGUCACUCAGACGGCGGCGUCCUCUCACGCUUUUCUCUCCUGCUCACUCCUGAGGGAAGGCCGCCGCCAGCUGCCCCCUUCCCUGUGGACAGGCCCAGGUGACAAGCAAGGGAGGGAGGCCUCGGGCCAGCGGUCAGCAGGGACCUGAGGCUUCAAUCCGACCACAUCCCACCACCAUGUAAGCGCGCUCGGAAGUGGACCCUUGCCAGCGACUCCCAGGUGAGACCACAGCCCGUCAGCUUGACCCACCUCGUCCCCCCCUCGCCCUGCACCCCUCAGCACCACGGCUGCCCCCUCUGUCCAGCCUCGCCAGCCCCGUCCUCCCAGACCCGGUGUGAGCCCGUCUCCCCCAGCUCCUGGCAAACCUCGCUCCUCUGAACCUGUUUCCCUCGGCGUCACCUGGAGGUCACCAUCUACUCCUCCUAUUACUUACCCCGCACGCGCCCCACGUGCUCCAUUAGCCUGAAGCGCCUCCCAGGUGGGACCAGUCUCAUCCGUCCUUCCACCCCCACACGCCCAGGACGGGGACCUGGAUUUGAAUUUCGGAUAGAUCUGUGACCUUUGGGUAAGUUACUAAGCAUCCACAAACCUCAGUUUUUCCCAUAUGUAAAAUGAAACUUUGAAAAUGAAAAUUUGUCAAUCAUAACAACAGAUGCUUAUUGGUUCGCCAAUGAAGGACGGGAGGCUUCCUCAGACGCGGUCCUGCGCCAGCACCUCAGACAAGGCCAUCCAUCUGAAAGGUGCCUGCGAGCCCCUGUUGCUCCUCCCGGCCUGUCAUCGAGGGUUCGGGCGGUCCUGCCUCCGCUCACCUCCAGCCUGUCUCGGCAACAUGGACCUCAGUCAGCAUGAGCCAGCAAGCUUUGAAGGCCGCCGUCUUUUUCCCUCUCUCCUGAGGCGUCUUCAUUUCCACUGCCGGGAGCACCGUCCUGGCCCUGACGGGUCACUCGUGGGGCUGUGUCCUCGGGCUCCACCCGUGACCUUUGCCAGAAGCCUCGCGGCACGGAUGUGUCAUGUGUUUCCUUUCACAGACCCCCGAGAGCAGAGUGGAGGUUUUGAAUAAAGAAAAAGGCAACCAUUUUACAAUCUCGUUUCCUUUGCUAGUCGCUACCUCCAGAUGCUGACUCGUUCGGCCAGAAGACUCCGUAGGUUUUUAUGAGACAGGAACUGUGAGCACACUGAGAGACGAAGCAGGGCAGACUGAGUUUUACCAGCAACACCGGGCUUUGCUGUCGCUUAAUCCUUGACUAGUCUGUUGACACAUGAAGCUCUUAAAAUCCUCGCUCUAUUUCUAAACCCCUGAUUUGUGCCUUUCAGUUGGAGCUUAUUCAGCUAAGACUGCACUGUGUGCUCAGCUGACAGACAGCAAACAUGCUUUCGUGGCUGCGACCAUAUGUUUGCAAAGACCUCAAUUACAAAAUUAACAGAGCAGAUUUCAUUGUCUUUGCUGAGCCCCAGAGAUGACAAUAAAAACCUCUAAUGAAGGGAGACACGAGAAAUAAGACCUAAAGACAAUAUUAAAAGAGAACAGCCGAUUUAUGGACUAAAUUUGAUUUACUAACCGGCCGUGUUGCUUCUGUUUUAGAAUUUGACAGGUAAGAGCAGCAUUCCUAGCUUGCAGCAAACUUCCUAAAUGCCGGUGGUGGCAGAGGGUGUGCGGGGCGGGAGGAGGUGGAAACCAAGAUGGGGGAGGCAGCUACCAGAUCCCACGCCCUGGGCCUGUCAGCACCGCCACCCUUACUCAUGCGUGCCAUCCAAGGGCUCUGGAAAUCUUCUUGUCCAAGUCUUGACUCCACAUCCCGGCCCUGGAGGAGGGCAGGAGGUGGGGAAUGGCUGCCCAAGGACUAUGAUAGAAAGGUCCUGAAGGUCUGGGCUGGCAGGGAAACCACACAGGGCUGAAUAUCCCCACAGAGCCCCAGAGCAGCUCGAUGCAACCCCUGGAAAGGGCACAGGAGCCCCAGAGAGAAGGCAGAUGAAGAGGAGGCCCCGUUUCCUCCCAUGGGGCUCAAGGCUGCUGUAGGCUGGACCAGACAUGUUCCCACCUGUGAGCAUCUCAAGACAGAAGCGGCAACAGGGGUCCUCUGGCAGAGCGAUUGGAAGAUGGGCAUAUUGACACGGAAAGAAGAAAGAAAAGGAUUAGAUGCCGUCACAGACAUGCAUGGCUGUCUCUGGAGCCCCCUUUCCAAGGCCCUCGCCAAGAAGGAUGAGCCGUUUGCUGUUCUCCUCUGAGGCCGGGAGCCGCUGAGCCCUGAAGUGGCAGAGGGACAGAGAGACUGUAAGGAGCAGGAGAGUCGGGACCACCAGCGUCUCUGCAGAGGCUCCCUGCCUCCCGACUGUCCCACCCCACUCACCACCAGAGCUGCGACAGUCACUGAGGGGGAAGAGCAGGUGAAUGGGGCAGCCAUGUCCCCACGCCGCCCUCCCGCAGGGCUGGGAAAAUCAAGCAAGAACUUCAUGCUAGACUUAGCAGUCAAUUUUGUAUCAGUUUUCAUUCGCCACCAGGAAUCAAGGUCAAAGGAAAAGAAAGGAAGAAAAGAAGAUGUGAGUUAUCCUAGAGGUUAUGUUCAGCACAUCCAAGACUCAAUGCCUUUAAUCUCGGGUGGGCCAGAAGGGCCACUUGGUCAGGACCUCAUCAGAAAACAGAAAGCCAAACGUGGGUACCGAGAAUGCAGGCCCCGGGAAUGGGGGCCCCGGGAAUGCAGGUACCAAGAGCGCAAAGGCAGGUUGGACGGGCAGAGGAAGCGACGGGGAUGGACGAAUGCCUGCCAUUAGCAGGAGCAGGGAGCCCUCAGCGCCAGCGUAGGGAACAGUCACCAGAACCUGGACACAGGCAAGGGCCACCAGGCAGGAAGCAUGGCCUUGAUGGAGACUGUAGAGCUGGGCCUUGCUUGCUCAGCAAAGGCCCACAAGCCCAUUGCAACCACAUGUCUUCCUGGCUCCCCUCUGGGCAGGACACCCAGCUGCUGGGAUUUGUAAGGACCCAGGGCCCGGCCAGCCCGGAUCCGGCCUUCCUCACUGCAAGAACAUGGCGUCCUGAAGGGACACAGGGCCCGUCCACGUGAGUGACUCUUUCUGGAACACUGGUCGUCCCAGGGACAGCCCGUUGGCAGGCACAUAGCCUUUGUGUCCCCCGCCUAUGUAAGAAACCCCCUCCCUGCCCGUGGCAGUGGGUGCACGUUGCUGUCCAGCUGGCAGCCACUGGACCUCCCUGUAAGUACCUCCCAAUAAACCCACACAUCUCCUUCACUGACCCCGGGUCUUUUCUGGUCUCUCCGCAGCCUACCCCACACUGCUCAUCCAGCAGGGCAUGUGCAGGACAGAGGGACCAUAGGGAGACACUCGGGGAGGAAACAGGGGCAUAACUUCCUGACCUCCUGCCCCCCACCCUCCUGUCUCCUACCAGCUCUGACUUCCAUUGGCCAAACCCAACAGGAAGCUAGAAGGUACGGGAGUCUGUUCACGGGCUCCAUCGUGAAGGCGAGCCCCCAGGGCCGGGGCUUGUGGACAAGGGUGCACAGCGUGUCUGGAGGGGCAAACAGGAGGUACCCAGCAGAGCCCAUCUCUUCUGUCCCUCAGCAUCCGCACAGGGCUUUAAUGGACAAG